rnacentral:rRNA from 1 species
GAUGAACGCUAGCGGCAGGCCUAACACAUGCAAGUCGAGGGGCAGCACGGUGUAGCAAUACACUGGUGGCGACCGGCGCACGGGUGCGUAACGCGUAUGCAACCUACCCAUAACAGGGGGAUAACACUGAGAAAUUGGUACUAAUACCCCAUAACACCAGGACCGGCAUCGGUUCUGGUUGAAAACUCCGGUGGUUAUGGAUGGGCAUGCGUUGUAUUAGCUGGUUGGUGAGGUAACGGCUCACCAAGGCAACGAUACAUAGGGGGACUGAGAGGUUAACCCCCCACAUUGGUACUGAGACACGGACCAAACUCCUACGGGAGGCAGCAGUGAGGAAUAUUGGUCAAUGGACGCAAGUCUGAACCAGCCAUGCCGCGUGCAGGAAGACGGCUCUAUGAGUUGUAAACUGCUUUUGUACGAGGGUAAACGCUCUUACGUGUAAGA